rnacentral:rRNA from 1 species
AGCUCCAGUAGCGUAUAUUAAAGUUGUUGCAGUUAAAAAGCUCGUAGUUGGAUUUCUGACUGACCAAGUAUGGUCCGGCGUCCUCAGGGCGCUGUGUACCGUCUUGCGUUUGUCAUCCUUCCAGAGAGCCGUGCCUACCGUUCUGCGGCAGGGCGCGUGCGAUCUGGAUCUUUUACUUUGAAAAAAUUAGAGUGUUCCAAGCAAGCUUACGCUUUGAAUACAUUAGCAUGGAAUAAUAAUAUAGGACUUCUGUUCUAUUUUGUUGGUUUCUAGGACCGAAGUAAUGAUUGAUAGGGAUAGUUGGGGGUGCUAGUAUUAAGCGGCCAGAGGUGAAAUUCUUGGAUUCGCUUAAGACUAACUACUGCGAAAGCAUUCACCAAGGAUGUCUUCUUUAAUCAAG